GCAGAGCCAGGCGGAUCUCUGUGAGUGCGAGGCCAGCCUGGGCUACCAAGUGAGUCCCAGGAAAGGCACAAAGCUACACAGAGAAACCCUGUCUCGAAAAACCAAAAAAAAAAAAAAAAGUUAUAAGAUUUUUUAAAAGACGUAUCUGAGAAAAUAAACAACAAAAAUUUAUAAGAUGGAAGAAAUCUCUGAGCAAAGUCUGCAGAUACUCAUUAGAUUUGGAACAAACAUUUACAAAGCAAAAGAUGAGGGGUUAUGACUAUAACAGAUAUAGAGAUCUUAUAGCUUAGUAACUCCCAAAACUCAAUAAAAAACCAUAAUGUGCAUAUGCAGAUCUCAAAGGAGCAUAUCUAAAUAACCAGCAACUAUAUUAAAAAACAUUUCAAUGCAUUUAACAGAUACAAAUUGCAAGCCAAUUUAGCAUUGUUAUAUAGCUUUAUACCUCUUGGGUUGGCAAACAUUAAGAAUAAAAAAAGUUGCCGGGCUGUGGUGGCGCACGCCUUUAAUCCCAGCACUUGGGAGGCAGAGCCAGGCAAAUCUUUGUGAGUCAGAGUCCAGCCUGGUCUACAAAGUGAGAUCCAGGACAGGCUCCAAAGCUACAAAGAGAAACCCUGUCUUGAAAAAACCAAAUAAAUAAAUAAAUAAAUAAAUAAAUUUAAAAAAACUUAAGAAGUAUAACAGCUAUUUCAAGCAAUGGUACAGAAAUUAGAGUACACUCAUAACAUACCUCUCACUCUCUUAAAGGCCAAGCUCUCCAUUCAUUUCUUUCUAUCAAGCCUCCUGGUGCUCCCAAGUUCCAGUGACAUAUAAAUUUAAAUAAAAGUUCCACGCUUCCAGCACAAUCACAUGCAAUGACAAGGAAGCAGGAAAUGUGCUUGCAUUUGGAAAGAGAUAAAGUCAAAAACAUCCAAAUGUCAUCAGUCCAUAGUAAACAGCAAAUCCUGACAGAUGGGUAGCAGGGACUUUUGUGUAGUGAAUUUACUGUCAUAGAUCCAGCCUUUGUGUCCUUAGAAAUGUCUCUUGUGAGCUCCGUUCAGCAGCUUCUGGCACCUCCCAGUGUGGGCGUAGAGGAUGCUGCUUCUUAAUGAUAUUUUAUAAGCCUGGAUUAGGCUGGCUUCCUCGGUUUGACAACUCACUUCUAGCUGGCAUGAAUUUGGAGACUUGGGAUGGCUUUAGGAAAUGACUCAUGGACAUCGAUUUAGUAUAGCAGUGUGACUUGGGGGCAGGGAGGUGGGAAGGCAGUCAGCAAUCCCUGAAGGGCAAGAAGUUUAUCUUUAUGAUGCAACUGCGGUGCCUAGACCAUAUGUAUGUAGUCCGAGUGGAGAUGGGAUGAGCCAGAGCUUUAGUUGCUUAUGUCAGUUUUACUGAGACAUGAGAACUGCAGUAAAUUUGUUUGAACAGGCAAAGUGGCCACCAUGCCAGAGGCAGGCCUUCAUUUUGGGUAGACUGAGUCUGACAUUGGUAUUGGGGAAUGCUACUAAUAGCAUGAAUUGCUUUGGACACAAAUACAUUACUAUUUUAUGUUGGGGAUGCACCAGGAGGCUGGAACAAAUCUGGUACCAUUAACUGUCACUCACUGAGAGGGCUAGAUCUUAUGGAAUGCCUAUACACCCCAUGUAUAAACAAAUUGUGAAGAUGACUAUAAAGUAGCUAUAACCAUGGGGGACAUAAUAUUUGACAUUUGAACAUAUGUGCAUUCUUUUUAGAAAACAAUAAUGGAGGAUCUCACAUUUUAUCUUUGCUAAUUUUAAUUUUGUUAAUUUUUAAAAAGAAUUGCUGGUAUAGAUAAUAGGUAGGAAGCCAGCUUGUCCAUGGUGCAGGUGAGAGGCGGAAAGGCGAGGCUCAGACGUUUUUACUGCAGCUCUCACUUGCCCAGAAUUGCCGCAGGCUGAACAAAUACUGAUGUAGUGGUCCCAACCUCAGGCAAACGUCAGUGGAGAGUCAGUUUUCCCAAGUGUGUGGUCUCAGGGAAGUCUACCAUGAUCCCGUGGAUGGACCCACACUCAAGAGUGUACGAAUAUCACAGACUGGACUUGGCAGGUUAUUUAUGAAAAAAAAAGAGGAUUGAAGUUGGGGGUGCUGGGGACUUGGUGGAAGGAGAGCUAGUUAGAGUAGUAGGGGGUGAAUAUGAUCCGAAUAAAUUAUGUGAAAAUGUAAAAUAAUAAACUGUAUCAAAAUAUUGUACAUUAGAAAGAUAUAUAUUUGUCUUUCUGAGUCUGGUUUACUUAAGUUAGGUUGGUGGCUCCAAAUCCACAUAUUUUUCAGAAAAUAACACAAUUUCCUUCUUACUGGCUGAAAAAUAUUUCAUUGUGUAUACAAGACACAUUUUCUUUACCCAUUCAUCUGUUGGUGGGCACCUAGGCUGAGUCUAUGUCUUGCCUGUUAUGAACAAAGCCAUAAUUAACAUGGGUACAUGGGCAUCUCUAUUUUAUGCUGUCUUUGAUUCCUUUAGGUGUAUGCACAGUCAUGGUAUAGUAGCAGUAUAUGGUAGCUCUAGUUUUAUUUUCUUGAGGGAUCUCCAUACCAAUUUUCGUUGUGGCUGGAUCAACUUAUACUCCUACCAACAGCAUUACAGCAUUUAAAGGUUUCCUACACCUGCAUGAUUUUUAGUAUAUUUUGUUUUCUCAAUGGUAGCCAUUCUGACUGGGGUGAAAUGGAAUCUCAAUGCCAUUUUGUUUUGCAUUUCCCUGGUGGCUAAAGAUGCUGAACAUUUAUUUAUGCAUUUUGUAGUUGGUUGUUUUGCUCUUUUGGGGGGCCUGCCACCCAGCUCCCAAAUACAUGGAGACUUAUUCUUAAUUAUAAAUGCCUGGCCUUAGCUUGGCUUAUUUCUAGCCAGCUUUUCUUAACUUAAAUUAACUCAUCUAUCUUUUGCCUCUGGGCUUUUACCUUUCUCUAUAUCUGUAUAACUUUCUUUCUUUCUUACUCCAUUGUUAGCUGUGUAGCUGGGUGUCUGGCCCCCAGUGUCCUCCUCCUCUGGCUACUUCUUUUUUUCCCCAGAUUUCUCCUUCUGUAUAUCCUCUCUGCCUGCCAGCCCUGCCUAUCCUUUUUCCUGCCUUGCUAUUGGCUGUUCAGCUGUUUAUUAGACCAUCAGAUGUUUUAGGCAGGCACAGUAACACAGCUUCACAGAGUUAAACAAAUGCAACAUAAACAAAAGUAACACACCUUAAAAUAAUAUUCUACAAUAGCAUUUAUUGGCCAUUUUAAGUAUUUAUUUUAAAAGUCUGUGUUUGAUUCAAUUGGCCAUUCACUGGUUGGAUUAUUUGCUCUUAUAUUAUUAAUAUUUCUGAUGUAUCCUGUUGUCUGACAUGGAAGUAUUGUCUGCAUCUAAAAAUAUGUAAGUGAUUCUGGAUCCUGUUCUGUGCCCACUCUCCUCAGUUCCGCACUUCCCAUACGAUAACAGGCACAGUCUUUGCCAGCUCUAAGGGAUGCCUUAGGAUAUGGUCCUGCCUGCUUCUUUAAUGUCUGCCAUCUCUGCCGGCUGGAUUUGUAUCUACCAUCUCUUUUAAUAUCUACCAUCACUUCACGAGCUUUGGCCUGGCAGAGCACCUGACAUCUUUUUGCCCUGACGUGAGUCUGGCUUUCAGGUCAUCCCUAAAUCUGUCUUCUGAGGUUUGUCUAUUGACCCGAUUUAUUUUCUUCAUAAUGUUAACUGUUGAAGUAUCUGAUUGACUUCUUGUUGUUUUCUCAACUCACAAGUAUACUCUGUGAGGAGAAGAACUUUGUCACAUUCCCCAGAGUUUCCAAAAUCUCUAGACUGCGACAGUACUUGAGCACAGCAGGGAGCACGACAUGUCUAAGGAGUAAGUAUAGUAAAUGACUCUCCCUUUCUGGAGGGAGCACAGCAAACAACCCCCCCCCACACACACACUAAGAAGGCCAUGGCCACCCUCUUAUUAAAAAUUAAUGUCUCAUGAGAAACUUCCUAGAAACAUACACACAGUUAUACGUGGGCUGUUGGUGUUUUUCAUUGGCUUUCCCUGUUGAUUUUUCUGUAUUAGAAGUUUUCCAAUUAAAAUUCAGCACAGUCAUAUCUUAGUAUACUUCUGUUGGUUUCCCACUUAUCCUAUUAACAUUUUGCACUCACAUAUAUUUAAAUGGCAUUUUGUCUCUCAGCUGAUAGGAGGAAGAAAGUGUAUUGAUUGAAUGAAUGCCUGAGUAUUUCAGGGAUCACUGGUUGAUUAUUAAGGAGAAGGCUUUUCUCCUCUUCAGUUCUCAACUUAUCCUAAGUGAUAUUACAUGUGAAAUGCCAAUUGGUUAGUGAAUUUCCUCAAAAAGAAGAAAGUAUUUUCUUCAUUACUGGAACUUUGGAACUAAAAUCAAGACUGAGUCGACUUCUCGAGUGUAAAAUUCAAGAGUCUAUGCCAGUUGACCCCUGAAGAAUUUCAAAAGCCUGGGUAAGGUGUUAUUGGUUGUGCCUCUUAUGAUCAGUUCCAGGAAGCAGGCAGCCUUUGGUGCAGGACCUGGGGCAAAUUAUAUCAUGGAUCCCUUCUCUCCCCACAACCCUUGUUAACCUCGGGCCGUCGGUUCACACAAAGUUCCUGGAGUGCCGUGGUGGCCUGAGGAUGGUACAGGGAAGUGAGCCAGAGCAACUUACUCUGGUUGUUGUGGGUAAGGAUAAAAACACUGAUGGAUUCAUUGUCCUUAUGGAAGACAUGCUUGGGUCUGACCAGCCGAAGGGAUCAAUUUUUGACCUUUGGCAUACCUGCUACCUUGCACUACAGCUCAGUUUUCAGUAAUGGGGGAGGCGAGUGAAGAGCUGUUAGCCGGGGGGCAGUUUAUUUGCUCUACAUAGCCUAGGUCAGUGUGUCUCAGAGGAUUACCUUCCUCUGCACAUACUCCAAUUUAUGAUUGUUUACUAUACAAGCGUUUGUCUAAACCUGUUCCUUCCAACCCCUGUCUAUAUAUUGGUAUGCUGGAGUCCUCUGGGUAGCCAUACCUUUAAUAGCUAAGGCCUGGCAGCGCCUUCCUUUCCUUGGGGGUAAUUCAGAUUCAUUUAUAUUUAGCCCCAAGAAACAAGAAUGACAAGAGAGAAUUUUUUCCUUACAGCUUAUGUAUUUUAAAUGUGCAGUCAACUUUAUAUUUUUAAGCGUGACCAACUGUAUGUUUUCAGCUUACUAAUCUGGCUAUAGAUUUGUUUCCUUUAGGAGAGAGGAAAGGGAUGAGUAUAAGCUGGGUAGAUUGGUGUCUGGGAGACUUGCCUCUGUAAAAAUGAAUUAAGCUUUUAAAAAAAGAUUUAUUUUUUAAUUUUAGUAUGCAUCUCUAUGUGUGGCUUUGUGGCAGUAUGUGCAUGUGAAUGCAAGUGUCCAUGGAGGCCAGAAUCAAUAGGUCCCCCUGAAUCAGACUUGGGACCUCUUCAAGAGCAGUAUACACUCUUAACAGCUGAGCCAUCUUUCCUGUCCAUGGAUUGUUUUAAAACAGGUUUUUCAAGUAGAAAUCCUGACCUCAGUUUAAGCAACACAAGUCUGAAGAUGGGAAAUAUAUUGUCUAUACCUUCAGGAGUGCUUUGAUCUAUCUGGAGAAAAUUCUAGAGCUAAUGGCUAAGGCUGUGCAGAUGCCGGAACACCAUGCAGAGACUAACCAUCUGUGCAAAGAUCUUGAUGAGAGAUGAGACAAAAACCUACAUACUACAUGGCCUCUCUGACAACACAAACAAGGAACUUUUCUUAGUCUAGUUUGUGUUGCUAUAACAGAAGACCUGAGAACUGAUAAUUUAUAAAGAGUAGACAUCUACUUGACCACAGCUGUGAAGGCUCAGAAGCCCAAGAUUGACCAGGAAGGCACAAAUUGUAAGACUUAGAUAGAAUGGAGUGGAAACAGGAAAUGUUCAGGUGAUCUUGUUUCCUCAGACUGGAAGCCUUUGAGUCCUCAUCCAAAUGGAUCUCAGCUGAACUACUGUUAAAAGCCUUAAAGCUUAACCAGGCUAUGGUUCCUCGUCCUCAUGCCUUAAAUACCUUUCUGCCUCCUGCCAUUACGUCCUGGGAUUAAAGGUGUAUCCUGAUUUGUUGUGUAGCUUUUAUGUACUUAAGCCCUGGAUUUAAGGGUUCCAAAGCUGGAAGAGAUUCAAGAUAUCUGCCAUUUGUCUCUGAACAAAGCUAAGCAGACAGUAAAGACCGGACACUCCCUGGUGUGUGCCAGAGGAAGCAUUUGAGAAGCACGAAGAUGUGAAGUCUCAACCAUUAGUACUAUGAAACCUGCUCAUCACGAGUGUGUGUGUGUGUGUGUGUGUGUGUGUGUGUGUGUGUGUGUGUGUCUGUAAAAGCGAUUGAUUGGGUCAUGUGAUCAUGAUCAUGAAUCAUGAAUCUGGCCUGCCUGUAAUCUUCAAUAGCUUAACACCCUGAGCAGACAAUGGUGCCGAUAAAGUCUCUAGGCAAUAUUCUGAAGAAGGUCCUUUUGCUCAGGGAGACAGACCUUUUUGUUUUAUUUAAACCUUCAACUAAUUGGAUGAGGUCUACCAAUUUUGAGGUAAUUUGUUUUAUUUAGUGGUCACUGGUUUAAAUGCAAAUCCUAUCCAAAACACCUUCCAGUGUGACACAUGGAAUUAGUCAUCAUAGAUAUUAACUCAAAAUGACUCCCCGUUACCAAAAUAUCAAAAUUAAGUUUCACUGAUUAUUGUCAAAUCUUCAUAAAUUCCUAAAUGCACAUUGGUCUCUUUCUUAUACUUGUUGUUAGAUCUAUAUAUGAAUAAAAUGUUCACAAUCAAGAAGCACUCUUGAAGUAUGGUGGUCAUGAGUCAUAUUCCAAGCUUUAGAGGAAAAGGAUAUGUAGCAGAGUCAAAGGAAUUCUCUUCUGUUUCUUGGUUCAAAAGUUAGGUCUUUGGUAAAACAAGAAAUAACUUAUCAGGACACUGAAGAUUAGACAGAAACCACAAUACAAGAAAAAUCAGCCUUCCACUGGAAAGCAAAGAAAAAAAGAUGGAAAUAAUGUGCACAUUUUCGAGGAAUGUCCGGAGAGGACCAUGGGACUUGCUAUACACUCUGUUGGGGGUAAGACCCCUAAAUAAUGGAGGAAGUUAUACAUUCAUUCAUGUGAAGAAGACAUCUAGAAAGCAGGUAAUCUAUCCAUGUGGAGAUGUGUCUGGUAAUUUUUUUACAGUAAUUAUUUCUUCAAUGCUUAUUCUGCACCAGGGCGUGUCAGGUACUUUCUGUCUUCUCAUUUUAUCCUCACACUGAUCUCACCUUGACACCUUCCCUUUGUCUGUUUUAGGAUACUUUUACCCUCACUAGAAAGCUAAUGGAGCAUCCAGUAUUUCUUGUAAGAUUUUUUUGUGGAUUGAGUGAAUUGAAAUUCAAAAUGUACUUAGAACAAUGCCUAACACCCCCUAAAUACCCAAUAAAUAUUACAGUUGCUCUUAGGA